rnacentral:rRNA from 1 species
AGAGUUUGAUCAUGGCUCAGAUUGAACGCUGGCGGCAGGCCUAACACAUGCAAGUCGAGCGGUAGCACAGAGAGCUUGCUCUCGGGUGACGAGCGGCGGACGGGUGAGUAAUGUCUGGGAAACUGCCUGAUGGAGGGGGAUAACUACUGGAAACGGUAGCUAAUACCGCAUAACGUCGCAAGACCAAAGUGGGGGACCUUCGGGCCUCAUGCCAUCAGAUGUGCCCAGAUGGGAUUAGCUAGUAGGUGGGGUAAUGGCUCACCUAGGCGACGAUCCCUAGCUGGUCUGAGAGGAUGACCAGCCACACUGGAACUGAGACACGGUCCAGACUCCUACGGGAGGCAGCAGUGGGGAAUAUUGCACAAUGGGCGCAAGCCUGAUGCAGCCAUGCCGCGUGUGUGAAGAAGGCCUUCGGGUUGUAAAGCACUUUCAGCGGGGAGGAAGGCGUUAAGGUUAAUAACCUUGGCGAUUGACGUUACCCGCAGAAGAAGCACCGGCUAACUCCGUGCCAGCAGCCGCGGUAAUACGGAGGGUGCAAGCGUUAAUCGGAAUUACUGGGCGUAAAGCGCACGCAGGCGGUCUGUCAAGUCGGAUGUGAAAUCCCCGGGCUCAACCUGGGAACUGCAUUCGAAACUGGCAGGCUAGAGUCUUGUAGAGGGGGGUAGAAUUCCAGGUGUAGCGGUGAAAUGCGUAGAGAUCUGGAGGAAUACCGGUGGCGAAGGCGGCCCCCUGGACAAAGACUGACGCUCAGGUGCGAAAGCGUGGGGAGCAAACAGGAUUAGAUACCCUGGUAGUCCACGCCGUAAACGAUGUCGAUUUGGAGGUUGUGCCCUUGAGGCGUGGCUUCCGGAGCUAACGCGUUAAAUCGACCGCCUGGGGAGUACGGCCGCAAGGUUAAAACUCAAAUGAAUUGACGGGGGCCCGCACAAGCGGUGGAGCAUGUGGUUUAAUUCGAUGCAACGCGAAGAACCUUACCUGGUCUUGACAUCCACAGAACUUUCCAGAGAUGGAUUGGUGCCUUCGGGAACUGUGAGACAGGUGCUGCAUGGCUGUCGUCAGCUCGUGUUGUGAAAUGUUGGGUUAAGUCCCGCAACGAGCGCAACCCUUAUCCUUUGUUGCCAGCGGUCCGGCCGGGAACUCAAAGGAGACUGCCAGUGAUAAACUGGAGGAAGGUGGGGAUGACGUCAAGUCAUCAUGGCCCUUACGACCAGGGCUACACACGUGCUACAAUGGCAUAUACAAAGAGAAGCGACCUCGCGAGAGCAAGCGGACCUCAUAAAGUAUGUCGUAGUCCGGAUUGGAGUCUGCAACUCGACUCCAUGAAGUCGGAAUCGCUAGUAAUCGUAGAUCAGAAUGCUACGGUGAAUACGUUCCCGGGCCUUGUACACACCGCCCGUCACACCAUGGGAGUG